GAAGGGAAAAUCUAUUACAAAGAACAGUUAACUAUAAUGUAGGCAUAACUAGGAAGGCGAAACAAUGCUUGAAAGAAUAUCCUAGGGCUGAGGACGAAAAUCAGGGGAGGAACCACUUUGAAGGAGGUCCUCUUCCCCAUGGCGGAUUCAGACAGUGAAGGAAAAGAGAUUUUUCAGCUCCAUUGAAUGGUGGAGUUCUUCGGGCUGCCUGACCCAGAACAGGUCCAUGGUUGCGGCAAGCAGAGAACAUAUGUCUGCAGGACAGGUGUUCAGAGGCAGCUGGGGCACAGAGUCAGCUUGUUGGCAGGACAGGUGGAGACCUGGGGUGAGUGGUGCCCCUGUUGGGGGUCGCCGGCUGCGGAUCUCUGAGAACUUGCAGAGAAGGUGCAUGCUCUGGGUGUGCGGCAGGGGCAGAGGCUUCUGGCAGUGGUGAGGAGCAAGAAGAAAAACAGAAUGGAAGCCCAGUAACCCCGGUGAGGGUAGUGGGGUAGCGCCUUCCUUCUGCGAUGUCGCUCCUGCGCCCUCUACUGACAAGCUAAACCUCACUCUCGCUGCAAAGGAAAAAAAUGCUUGAAAGAUCCAGUCUACGAAGGCCGAACAAGUCAGGAAAGUAGAUGCGGAGUGCUUAGAGCGUGAAUGUUUUCUGCUGUCUUUGGAAAUUUGUCUGCAAACAGCUCAAAGGUGACAUGGCCCAUGGGCUCGCCGUCGAUGGUGAUGUGGAAGAACACAGUGAGGUUGACCAUGGCUGGUAACAUGGAGCUCCCAGUGGCACUGUCUGCAAAGCACUCAGUGAAUGUUUGGAAUAAGAAUCAUAAGGAAGCACCAUGGGCCUCUUUGUGCUGUGAUGGAGAAACCAUUUUCCCAUGAAACCCACACGAGACGGCCGCUAGGUCGGAGUGCAAUGCUGGAACACCACACAAUCUUGGGGCAUGGGCUCAGCUUUCCCUGCAUGGACUCUCUUCACUAUUUUACAAGCAAGUGAGCUCUCUGCAUCAGAUUUUAAGCUCCUCCAGAGCCAGAACUGUGUUCUUUGCUUCCUUCUAUACUUCUCCCUCAGGGUUCAGACUUGGCCCGGCUGCUCAUUGUAAUGAAAUCUGGGAGUGAAUCUCAGGAAACACCCAUGGUCUUUCUAUGAUAGGUUAAUUUUUUUGUUUUUGUUUUUUUGUAAAAUAUACAUAACAUAAAAUUUACCAUUUCACCUAUAUUUAAGUAUGCAGUUCAAUGGCAUGAAAUACACUCAUGUUACUGUGCAGUCAUUACUACCAUCCUCCUCCAGAACGCUUUGGUUUCUUCCCAAACUAAAACUUGGUAUCCACUACAUGUAACAACUCCCCAUUCUCCUCUCCCCAUAAUUCCUGGCAACCACCGUUCUACUUCCUGUUUCUAGGAAUCUGAUGACUCUAGUGGAAUGGUUAGUAUUAAACUGAAGGUAAUUUUUACUUGAGAUGGGAUCUCCAGUAUUUUUUUGUGUGGGAGGGGCAAUCUCCAGUACUUUUAUGCAGGAGACAAGUUCUUCUGGUCUCUUGAACUGUGUUCUAACCAUGGAAAGGAAAUUGAUGGAGCUAGGAAAGGUCAAGUGUGGCCAAGGGACAAUUUCCCUUCCCCUGUCAUUAGAGUGGGAGGAUUAGAAGGAUCGGUAAUAGCCAUUGACCCUGACAGCACAGUGAAGGGCAAGUGGGACACCAUUGUGGAGACCACACAGGGAAGCCAAGGUGAAGGGCCAUCUGGGGCCUGUUUCUGUAGUUAGUUGAGGCUGCCGUCGAGGCUCUGCUGGAAAUAACUGGGAAGUGCUAUGUGAGGGGCAUUUCAUCGUGAAAUGGCUGCAGGGCCUUGUGCAUCACCAUCUGGGUUAUGCAUGGGCUUCUUCAUUUCACGCUCCCAACAAAACUACCAGUUUGUUGGUUCAUUGCUAUCUUAUAGGUGAGUGCAAUGUGAUUUUAAAAAAGAGGUCAGGAAACUUGCCCAAAGUUGCAGUUUGAAAUGGCAGAGCAAAGAUCUGAACCCAGAUCUGACUCCAAACCACAUGUUCUUCCUACUCUUGUCACUCUACUGCUUCUGGGGUUAAUAAGGAGGCUGCGUGUAUCCUGCCAACUUUUAAGGUCAAGGUGAGAACUAGAAUAUUGGCCUCUGAGAAACCUACCACAUUGCUCUACAAGUCUACAGCUUUAAACUGGAAGAGAGUGCUCGGAGCUAUUGUUUGGCCCAACUCCCUCAGGUUGUGGUUGAGGAACCCAGGCUGCCAAGGCCACUCAGAGGUUGGGUCCAGAACUAAGGUUGGUGCAAAUGUCAUUGCAGGAACUGUCAUGGAAAGUAAUGGCAAAAACCGCAAUUACUUUUGCACCAACCUAAAAUAACCAGAAGUCUGUUCCAAGGUCCUAAUUGGUGCCUUUGAUUACAUAACAGAAGAAGAGCAUUCAGUAUUGGUUUCAUCUAUCUUUGAUGCCCUUUGCUUGCAUUUCAACACUCCAUCCACAGGAGGCUCCUCCCCAGCAUCCUGCUUUCAGCUGGUUGUCAUUUAACAUCUAUAAGAUUAGCCAACAAGAAAAAUGUUACCUUAUAAUACUUUCAACACCUUCAAAUUCCCUACAAGGAAAAAGUUUCUUACAGGGAACUGUUGUCUUUUAACUGAAUCCUAUUAACAUAUUCUGGAUGAAGGAAACACACUUUAUGAGGAGAGAGUUACAUGCAGUCGCGUAGUCUCCUUCUGUAAUUGCACUGUGUGUCUUCUCCUUUUUUGUUUGUUUGCUUUUGUUUUAAGGCAGGGUCUCCUUCUGUUGCCCAGGCUGGAGUGCCGUGGUCUGAUCAUAGCUCACUGCAGCUUCAACCUCCUGGUCUCAAGUGAUUCUCGUGCUUCAGCCUCCUUAGUAGCUGGGACUACAGGAGUGUGCCACCAUGCCUGGCUAAUUUUUCAUUUUUUGUAGAGAUGGGGGCUCCUCAUGUUGCCUAGGCUGGUCUCAAACUCCUGGUCUCAAGCGAUCCUCCUUCCUCAGCUCCCAAAAUGUUGAGAUUACAGGUGUGAGUGACUGGGUUCUGUCUACUUCCAAGGCUGUGCUAAGGAGUAGGAAGGCCUUUGCUGAAAUCUCUAAUUUACCUCUCACUCACUACUUAUAUGACCAUAGGAAGGUUGCUUAACCUCUCUGAGUCUCAGUAAUCCGCUUUGUAAAACAUAUUAUUGAUAGCACUUCCUCUGGGGGUAAUAAGAAUUAUAUGAAUGUGAUAGGUAAAGUGACUAAAAUAGCUGCUUAAUAAAUGUUACAUCCCUUUCUUUACUCUCUUGGACCCCAUGUGAAGGCCCUUUGUGAGGAGGUGCACCUAUUACAAACCCAUUGCUUAACCUAGUUCCAACUGUAUCUUUCACCACAUAGCAUUUUAUUUCUAUUUGCACAGGAGGGAAUAGAAGUCUAGGGUUAGACAGAAUGGCCUGGUUUUUGGCUUAGUUACACUGCCCCCAAGUGUGAGUUCUUAAGGACCUACUGCUAGGGUGACCGAAUGUCCUAGUUGUCCUACUUUGCCCAGGACUGAGGGAUUUCCAGGACAAGAGACUGUGCUGCUAAAACUAGGAAACUCUCAAGCAAAGUGGGACAAAUUGGUCACCCUCCCUGCUGUAUCCAUAUCUAGAUAAAGCCUUCAUUGCUUUCCUAAAGAUAAAUGCCUCUGAAAUCCCAUGCUCAUUUCAUGAUGGAAAAGUAAGAAGAGUGAUCAUUCUGUGCCUACAUAAAAAGGGUGAUCUUAAUUCAACUGGCAGGGACAGGAAGAAUGAGCCUAAUAUGAAAUUGCUGACAACCAUUUUAAUUUCAUUGAAGUGCCAACAAUUUUAUUUGGGGAUGUUUUAUUUAUGGAAAAUUAAUCAUGAUUAUUUUUUUGGCCAUACAGAGUGUAGCAAAGAAUGAAGGAUUCCUGAAUCAAACUUUUCUGUACUAUUUGACUAACUCUCCUAUUUAUGCAAAAUUUCGUUAAGAUAGAUAGGAUUGUGACAUCACCAAAAAAUUUGAUCGCCUGUGCUGCCCCCCCACCCCCCACCCCCACAAUCCUAGGGAAGUCCCAUCUUUUUGUUCACUGCAGCUGUGAAUAAUUUCUUGUGUUGCAGAUGGGGAGAUUUAAGUACAAAAGGGUCUAUUUCGUGCCAUUGGAGUCACAGCCAGAGAAAUGGUUUCACUCCAUUUGUGGCUUCUUAAAGACGCUGGAGAAACUCAGAGGUUGUGGUGAGCCAAAAUCAUGCCAUUGCACUCCAUCCUGGGCAACAAGAGCGAAACUCUGUCUCAAAAGGAAAAAAAAAAAGGCAGGGUGCAGUGGCUCAUGCCUGUAAUUACUUUGAGAGGCAAGGUGGGCAGAUCAUCUGAGGUUGGGAGUUCAAGAUCAGCCUGAUCAACAUGGAGAAACCCCAUCUCUAUUAAAAAUACAAAAAUUAGCCAGGCAUGGUGGUGGCCCAUGCCUGUAAUCCCAGCUACUCUGGAGGCAGGAGAAUCUCUUGCGGUUUCUUAAAGAUGCUGGAGAAACUUGGAGGUUGCAGUGAGCCGCGAUCCUGCCAUUGCACUUCAGCCUGGGCAACAAGAGUGAAACUCUAUCUCAAAAUAAAAUGCUGGAGAAACUGUAGAAUUGCUUAUAAACACGGAUCUCUUGAUAAAUGAAGUAGACAAUAUCUGAGAGUUAAGUACUGUUUUCAUAUUUCAUUUUCAAAUCUUCUUAUUUUCUGGGUCAAUUCCCUCUUCAGACACAUAAGUACUGGUAAGGCUGGAUAAGUGAGGGAGCAUGAAUGAGAGAUAGUUACACUUUCCUAUGUAUCUUAUGUCAGUGCUUUGGGUAACUUCAUUUAAGCUCUUGUAUGCCAAGGCAAUGUAGACACUAGUGAAAGGGUUCACUUGAGGAACAAAAAGCAAACUGGAAGUACAUGACUUCAGCAAAUUCUCAGCAGUCAAUAUUUAAACAGUUCUUAUUUACACAUACUCAACUGGGGGCCCUGAUGAUGGGCUAGCAGCCUGUCAUUUGCUGACUUGAAAGAUUUGUGUAAAGACAAUUCUAGUCAUCAACAGUAAAGAUUAAGAUACAGAAAAUGCGGUUGGGGAUGGAUUUGAUUUUUCAGAAAUACAUUACUAAGAAAUUGAUGUCCUGACUUUGAUCAAUAACAGAAAUACAUGUGCAUGCUUCUAUACCCCUUUAUUAAACCUGCUGAACUGGGUCUGGAAAACCAAUAUCUAUUCUAACCACUCAGUGUUAGAAAAGUCUUUCUUAGCCCUGAGUAGGUCCCUGUCAAGCCUGCAUGAUGCUCCAUGUGCCCCAGGAUUAUCUCUAUUCUGGACAGAACCAUCUUGGGGUAAUAGAUCGUCGGAGCCCUAGGCUUGGUUGAUGCAUUGCUCCAAUGUGUCAGAACAACAUCUGGCUCAGUUUCUCUACCCCAGAAGCCCAGCAACAACUAACUACUAUGAUGGAUUACAGGUGUGGUACAGCCUAUCGCUGUAAUACAUCAGACAUGGCACUCAUUUGAAAGUGAAUUCAUCAAAAGAUGGAGUUCUUGCAAGCUCCAAACCCAAGAAAAGGCAUCCUGUUUAAUUAUAGACAGUGUAACUGGCAUGAGGGCUGUAACUGUCAAAUCGGGGACAGUUUCUAAGAUACAAUCCACAGUAAGUGGGCAUCACUACCAGAUGAGGUUUUAUUGCUGGUCUGCUUUCUUGAGGUGUGAUUCAUAUCUUCCAUCAGCACCCCCACCCCAACCAGAGCAGCCAGACUGCAGUUUGGGCAUACUUUUUCAUGUGUCUUUGUAAGGACGUUCAAAAGCCAUCCCUACUAUAAAUAACCAGAUUCCCUUUGUCCUAAGUUCAAGUGUUCUUACAGUUUCUUUUUCUUCCUGUAUAGCUCUUUGCUCCAAAUCCCCAUAGAACAAAAUGGAACUAUAAAAUGAAAGUGUCUGUGCCAUUCUGUGUCUCAUUAUGUGGUUUAGCUCUUUGGCAUCAGUUCAUUCCGUUAUUCAUUUACUAAGACUGAUUGUGUAUUGAAUUUGUUAUGAUGCUGCAGUUUCAUAUAAUAAAAAAUUGAAUGGUUAAAAUGUAAGGAUAUUUAUUAUUUUACAUGAUGAGAUGUUCA